rnacentral:rRNA from 1 species
UACGUAGGGGGCUAGCGUUGUCCGGAUUUAUUGGGCGUAAAGAGCGUGUAGGCGGCCAGAUAGGUCUGCUGUGAAAACUCGAGGCUCAACCUCGAGAUGUCGGCGGAAACCAUUUGGCUAGAGUCCGGAAGAGGCGAGUGGAAUUCCAGGUGUAGCGGUGAAAUGCGUAGAUAUCUGGAGGAACACCGGUGGCGAAGGCGGCAUCCUGGACCAAUUCUGACACUGAGGAGCGAAAGCCAGGGGAGCAAACGGG